rnacentral:rRNA from 1 species
AGUUGAUUAUGGCUCAGACUGAACGCUGGCGGGAUGCUUUACACAUGCAAGUCGAACGCGCAUGGUUCUGGUCUGGUGGCGAGUGGCGAACGGGUGAGGAAUAUCGAACGUGCCUUUGGUAGUGGGGAUAAUCACGAAAGGUAGCUAUCAUCACAUAUCUCUGGUGCUGGGACCUUCUUGGCCCUUGCACUAUUAGAGUGGCUGAUAUCGUGGAUUAGCUAGCUGGUGGGGCAACGGCUCACCAAGGCUAUGACGAUCCGUGAGUUUGUCGAGAGGACGACCAGCCACACUGGGACCGAGACGAUAACUCAGACUUUACGGAGGCAGCAGUGGGGAAUUCUGGACAAUGGGGAAACCCUGAUCCAGCCAUCCCGCGCGGUGAUGGUUGGCUCGGGUUGUGUGCCACUUUACAGAAAGAAUCGGCACGGGAUGGACACCUCGCAACUGACGGUACCUGCAGAAUAAGCACCGGCUAACUACGUGCCAGCAGCCGCGGUAAUACGUAGGGUGGGAAGCGUUAAUCGGAAUUACUGGCGGAAGCGUGCGCAGGCGGUUCGGAAAGAAAGAUGAAAUCCCAGAGCUUAACUUUGAACUGCAUUUUUAACUACCGAGCUAGAGCAAACAGAGGGAGGUGAAUUCGCGUAGCAGGAAUGCGUAGAUAUGCGGAGGAACACCGAUGGCGAAGGCAGCCUCCUGGGAUAACACUGAUUGCUCAUGCACGAAAGCGUGGGGAUAAACAGAUUAGAUACCCUGGUAGUCCACGCCCUAAACGAUGUCAACUAGCUGCUGGGGCUCGGGCCCCUGGUAGCGCAGCUAACGCGUGCAGUUGACCGCCUGGGAGCAUGGUCGCAGAUUAAACUCAGCGAAUUGAUGGGGACCCGCACAUGGUGGAUGAUGUGGAUUAAUUCGAUGCAACACGAAAACCUUACCUACCCUUGACAUGUCUGGAAUCCCGAAGAGAUCAUGGAGGCUUUGCAAGAGAACCGGAACACAGGUGCUGCAUGGCUGUCGUCAGCUCGUGUCGAGAUGUUGGGUUAAGUCCCAACGAGCGCAACCCUUGUCAUUAUUGCUACGAAAGGGCACUCUAAUGAGACUGCCGGUGACAAACCGGAGGAAGGUGGGGAUGACGCUGGUCCUCAUGGUUCAGGGUAGGGUUUCGCCACGUCAUACAAUGGCCGGGACAGAGGUCGCCAACCCGCGAGGGGGAGCCAAUCCAGAAACCCGAUCGUAGUCCGAGGUAGCCCGGCCCUGACUGCGUGAAGUCGGAAUCGCCAGUAAUCGUGAUCAGCAUGUCGCGGUGAAUACGUUCCCGGUCUUGUACACACCGCCCGUCACACCGCGAGCAGUUUUACUAUAGAAGAGUGUCGGCCCGUAGGUGAGGGCGAAUGCCGCCGUAGUAGGACGCAGAUCAGUGAAGUCGUAGAAAUCGUUACGCCUG